rnacentral:rRNA from 1 species
AUUGAACGCUGGCGGCAUGCCUUACACAUGCCAGUCGAACGGCAGCACGGACUUCGGUCUGGUGGCGAGUGGCGAACGGGUGAGUAAUGUAUCGGAACGUACCUUUCAGUGGGGGAUAACGUAGCGAAAGUUACGCUAAUACCGCAUAUUCUGUGAGCAGGAAAGCAGGGGAUCGAAAGACCUUGCGCUGAUUGAGCGGCCGAUAUCAGAUUAGCUAGUUGGUGGGGUAAAGGCCUACCAAGGCGACGAUCUGUAGCGGGUCUGAGAGGAUGAUCCGCCACACUGGAACUGAGACACGGUCCAGACUCCUACAGGAGGCAGCAGUGGGGAAUUUUGGACAAUGGGGGCAACCCUGAUCCAGCCAUGCCGCGUGAGUGAAGAAGGCCUUCGGGUUGUAAAGCUCUUUCGGCCGGGAAGAAAUCGCAUAGGCUAAUACCCUGUGUGGAUGACGGUACCGGAAUAAGAAGCACCGGCUAACUACGUG